UUUGCCCUGCUUAAUGGUAUUUCCAUCACUGGAUGCCUGCUCUACCAACUGAGCUAAAGAGCAUUUCUCAAUCCUGCACAAAAUAAGUCCCGCCCACAGAUUUCCUGAGGAAUGCAGGUGGGGCAUGCCAAAAUGGGCGGUCUCACUCGUUUCCCGCGUGAAGUUAGCCAUUUCCCUCCAAAACUGUAGGUGCCUGUAUAAAUGCCCGAGGGACAUUUCACUCUGGUCCGAACUGCUCUUCUUUGAGGACACGAAUACGGUGAACAGUGGGACUUCAGCGUCAAGUGGAACAGCUAUGAUCUGUAUGGAGAUCAAACCGGGAGAGGACAGACACCUGGUCCAACAAGGUGAUGGAUGGUUGACGGGACGAAUCACCGAGACGAACAAGACGAGCCAAACAAUGGAGAGGGGCCGCCACAGGAGCCUGAAGGGAAAGUGUGAGACUCCUGGUCCAAUAAGGUGAUGGAUGGUUGUCGGGACGAAUCACCGAGACAAACAAGAUGAGCCAAACAAGGGAGAGGGGCCGCCACAGGAACCUGAAAGAAAGUGUGAGACUCCUGGUCCAACAAGGUGAUGGACGGUUGACAGGACAAAUCACCAAGACGAACAAGACGAGCCAAACAAUGGAGAGGGGCCGCCACAGGAGGCUGAAGGGAAAGUAACGAGAGCAGCCAGGAGCUGAAAGCGUGGGCAGAGGAACAGGCUACUGAGGACAAGUUGGAUGAUGGUUUCCUAUACUGAAUCCUGAUUUCCUACCCUUCAGACAGCUCAGCUUAAAAACAGCUGACUGGAUCAACAGACGCUGAACACUGUGGAGACAUGGAGGCCGUUAUUGGGCUCUUGCUGAUGCUGCUCGGAGUCUCUCAUGGUGAGGCAUAAUGAAGAGAGCACAACAAACCCUGGUCACCUUUGGGAAGAAGAUAGUAAGGCAAGAAAAGGACUAAAGGGGGAGAAAAGAAAAGGUGAAAGAGAAGACCAGCUGCUGCCCCAGGAUAGGAUUAUCAGUGUCCCAUACACGCUGAUGUUAAACAAACAAUACUGUCCUCUGAUCUACUUCAAUCAUAAUCAUAAUUAUUCAGUUUUAAUGUAACUUAACAACAUACAGUAUCUAGUAGUAUCUAAUAGUGAAAUUGUAUGACUUACAUUUUGCUUGUGUUCAUGUACUUUCUGUUUGAGUUUGCAUUAUUUGGUAUUUGAGUUAAUAAAGUUGAUAUUAAGGAGGUGUAUAUUAUUAUUAUUUGCUUAAUUUCCUCUUGACAGGAGAGACAAGUGCAAUCUUGUUUUGCAUUAUGCCCUCUUACAUCUAGGCUAGAUAAUCUUUGAAACUUUACUUACGUUAGGACAAUAAUGUUAACUGGAAUCAAUGUACUGUCAAUAAUAAACAAUCAUACAAUU